GGCCCAAUGGUAAGGUAACUAUGGCUAUAGAGAAAUUAGAUAGCCUCUCUGAUGAACUAAGAAAGAACUCAGGAGUCAUUGAUACCUGGGACAGAUGGUUUGGAUGGAUGAAUGGUUGGCAGAGAACCCUAUUCUAGGUUGGGACAGCAGUUCUCGUAAUGAUUGUGAUCUUCCUAUUUUUAACCUGUUGUGUACUUCCUUGUAUACAAAAGUACUUGCAGAAGACAGUAGGGAAGACUAUAGACAAUGUAACCCCUACUUUCCUACAUCAGGACGUCACUGACCUAGAAUGUGACACACCACAUACACCCCUCCAAUCCCACCAGUUUAAACAGACAACUGCUUUCCUGUAGGGAUAGCGUAGGGAAAGCGUCUGUCUCUACGGGCAAGUCUCACAUGUGAAGAUGUGGUGGACUAGUUAGUAAAAUGUCUAUUUACUCAUUUAACUGAAAUCAGUGUAUAAGCUAUUCACGCAUAUUUAGACAAAAUGGCCACUAGAAGCUUCUAACCCCUCCCUCCCUAUAACACCGACUAACUACCUCGUGCAACAAGAUGGCGCUGGAAUCCGUGGGAGACCCUCAUGGUUCCAGUGACAUCACCAUUAGUAGGCAGAGCAUUAGGAAGACCACUUAACACCUAACCAAUUAUUGAUGUAUUAUUUCAUGUUAUCUCUGACAAUGCUUAUGAUGUAAUUUUGCUUUAAAAGGGACCUGCCGUCCCCUCUGAAUAAACUUUUCUCAAGUUAUUCAACAACCUGAAAUCUGUGUCUGAAGAAUAAUCAAUUUAUUGAUUGAUUUCCAUUUCACCGGCCGCCCUCCAACUCCUGCCUGCUUUCCGACCUCGAUUUCAG